rnacentral:rRNA from 1 species
UUUUUAUGGAGAGUUUGAUCCUGGCUCAGGACGAACGCUGGCUGCGUGCUUAACACAUGCAAGUCGAACGCUGAAGCCCUGGUGCUUGCACCGGGGUGGAUGAGUGGCGAACGGGUGAGUAACACG